GACGAACGCUGGCGGCGUGCUUAACACAUGCAAGUCGAACGGAAAGGCCCUGCUUUUGUGGGGUGCUCGAGUGGCGAACGGGUGAGUAACACGUGAGUAACCUGCCCUUGACUUUGGGAUAACUUCAGGAAACUGGGGCUAAUACCGGAUAGGAGCUCCUGCUGCAUGGUGGGGGUUGGAAAGUUUCGGCGGUUGGGGAUGGACUCGCGGCUUAUCAGCUUGUUGGUGGGGUAGUGGCUUACCAAGGCUUUGACGGGUAGCCGGCCUGAGAGGGUGACCGGCCACAUUGGGACUGAGAUACGGCCCAGACUCCUACGGGAGGCAGCAGUGGGGAAUAUUGCACGAUGGGCGGAAGCCUGAUGCAGCAACGCCGCGUGCGGGAUGACGGCCUUCGGGUUGUAACCCGCUUUCGCCUGUGACGAAGCGUGAGUGACGGUAAUGGGUAAAGAAGCACCGGCUAACUACGUG
rnacentral:rRNA from 1 species